rnacentral:lncRNA from 1 species
UGGGUAUGAUAUAUUAUUUGCAAGAACUUAUGGCGUAAGACUCUUACAUUUAGCUUUUUUCAAUGAUUUGUUUUAAAUACAUACUACAUGUAAAAGAAGAAUAAAUAAUCAAUCUACAUAAUGGAAGAGAUACUUUAUAAUAGUAUCUUAUUAUUACUAUAUAUUAUUUAGGGAUGGUGUUGUUUGUGAUUUCAUCUAUGAGAAAACUAAGGUACAAAUACUACCAUAAUAUAAUGAUACAUUGUAGAGCUUGUUAUAAAAACUGAAGGGCUAGAGAAAUAUAAAUUAAAUUUUAAAGUAAAAUAUAAAAGUACAAAUACAAUUAUAACCUUACAUGAAGACCUCACAAACAUUAUCAAUGCACUUCAAAUUAUCAAGAGGUGUAAAAAAAUUUAGACAGUCUUCGUUACAAUCGCAUGUAAUUGCAGCUGCAUUAAUAAGGAAGAAUGGUGUUACAAACAUGAUAUAAGAAUUUGUAAAAGAUGAAUUAUAAAUUCAAAAUUAGUGCGAAAAAUGACUAACUCUUAAAGGUUACUACAAGAUACGGGAAAAGACAUAUGAUCAUAGCAUAAAUCAACAUGUGAUUAUUAGCCAUAUUUUUUCUCCUUUGCAUAUAAUAUAUAAAAUUUUGUUAAUCCCUUUAA